rnacentral:rRNA from 1 species
GAUGAACGCUGGCGGCGUGCCUAAUACAUGCAAGUCGAGCGAACGGACGAGAAGCUUGCUUCUCUGAUGUUAGCGGCGGACGGGUGUGUAAUAUGGGGAUAACCUACCUAUAAGACUGGGAUAACUUCGGGAAACCGGAGCUAAUACCGUAUAAUAUUUUGAACCGAAUGGUUAAAAAGUGAAAGACGGUCUUUCUGUCACUUAUUGAUGUAUCAGCUCUGCAUUAGCUAGUUGGUAAGGUAACGGCUUACCAAGGCAACGAUGCAUAGCCGAACUGAGAGGAUGAUCGGCCACACUGCAACUGAGACACGGUCCAGACUCCUACGGGAGGCAGCAGUAGGGAAUCUUCCGCAAUGGGCGAAAGCGUGACGGGGCAACGCCGCGUGAGUGAUGAAGGUCUUCGGCUCGUAAAACUCUGUUAUUAGGGAAGAACAUAUGUGUAAGUAACUGUGCACAUCUUGACGGUACCUAAUCAGAAAGCCACGGCUAACUCCGUG